rnacentral:rRNA from 1 species
GACGUAGGAGGCGAGCGUUGUCCGGAUUCAUUGGGCGUAAAGAGCACGCAGGCGGUUUGGUAAGUCGGAUGUGAAAGCCCGGAGCUCAACUUGGGAAUGGCAUUGGAAACUGGCGGGCUGGAGUGUGGCAGAGGGGGGUGGAAUUCCACGUGUAGCAGUGAAAUGCGUAGAGAUGUGGAGGAACACCGAUGGCGAAGGCAGCCCCCUGGGCCAACACUGACGCUCAGGAACGAAAGCGUGGGGAGCAAACAGG